AGUGAACGCUGGCGGUAGGCCUAACACAUGCAAGUCGAACGGGAGCACAGUAAGAGCUCGCUCUUACGGGUGGCGAGUGGCGGACGGGUGAGGAAUACAUCGGAAUCUACUUUUUCGUGGGGGAUAACGUAGGGAAACUUACGCUAAUAACGCAUACGGCCUCCGGGUGAAAGCAGGGGAUCUUCGGACCUUGCGCGAUUGAAUGAGCCGAGGUCGGAUUAGCUCGUUGGCGGGGUAAAGGCCCACCAAGGCGACGAUCCGUCACUGGUCUGAGAGGAUGAACAGCCACACUGUAACUGAGACACGCCCCAGACUCCUACAGUGGGCAGCAGUGGAGAAUAUUGGACGAUGGAGGCGAGCCUAAUCCAGCCAUACCGCGUAGAUGAAGAAGGCCUACUGGUUGUAAAGCCCUGUAGUUGGGAGAGAAAAACAGCAGGUUAAUACCCCGCUAUGCUGACGGUACCCAAAGAAGAAGCACCGGCUAACUUCGUG
rnacentral:rRNA from 1 species